rnacentral:rRNA from 1 species
UGGAUCAUCUACCUUCAGGUGGGGGAUAACCCGGGGGAAACUCGGGCUAAUACCGCAUAACAUCGCGAGAUCAAAGGGGCGCAAGUCCCGCCAGAAGAGGAGUCCGCGUUCGAUUAGCUAGUUGGUAGGGUAAUGGCCAACCAAGGCCACGAUCGAUAACCGGCCUGAGAGGGUGACCGGCCACACUGGGACUGAGACACGGCCCAGACUCCUACGGAGGCAG